rnacentral:misc_RNA from 1 species
AGUGAACUAAGAUAAGGCGAUGCUGCCGAAAAUGUUGGAUCACUAUGUAUAACAAAAUAUGAGAAAAAAUAACAGAAUGUUAAGAAUUCAUCAAUUGUCAUCCAUGCAAAAUAACAUCACUGCAAUAGUCUUCACAAAAGGAAUCUUGAAUUCCGGCAAAAGGCAGCUAUGGCCAGUGCCAGUUCUUGGUAUAGGGUGUGUUAAAACAACACAAAUAUUCUAUAUGAGGAAACAAAGGAACUUCGUAUAUAGAGCAUCACAAGG